rfam:Pichia angusta strain DL-1 mitochondrion, complete genome.
GUUAGAAUAGCUUAAUUGGUAAAGCGGUAUACUGUUAAUAUACUUUAUUCGGGUUCGAGUCCCGAUUUUAACU